rnacentral:rRNA from 1 species
GAUGAACGCUGGCGGCGUGCCUAAUACAUGCAAGUCGAGCGAACAGACGAGGAGCUUGCUCCUCUGACGUUAGCGGCGGACGGGUGAGUAACACGUGGAUAACCUACCUAUAAGACUGGGAUAACUUCGGGAAACCGGAGCUAAUACCGGAUAAUAUAUUGAACCGCAUGGUUCAAUAGUGAAAGACGGUUUUGCUGUCACUUAUAGAUGAAUCCGCGCCGCAUUAGCUAGUUGGUAAGGUAACGGCUUACCAAGGCAACGAUGAGUAGCCGACCUGAGAGGGUGAUCGGCCACACUGGAACUGAGACACGGUCCAGACUCCUACGGGAGGCAGCAGUAGGGAAUCUUCCGCAAUGGGCGAAAGCCUGACGGAGCAACGCCGCGUGAGUGAUGAAGGUCUUCGGAUCGUAAAACUCUGUUAUUAGGGAAGAACAAAUGUGUAAGUAACUAUGCACGUCUUGACGGUACCUAAUCAGAAAGCCACGGCUAACUACGUG